rnacentral:SRP_RNA from 13 species
CAGAGCCGGAAGGUAGCAGCAGCAGCAG